CCUACGGGAGGCAGCAGUGAGGAAUAUUGGUCAAUGGCCGAGAGACUGAACCAGCCAAGUCGCGUGAGGGAAGACGGCCCUACGGGUUGUAAACCUCUUUUGUCGGGGAGCAAAGCGAGUCACGUGUGACUCAUUGAGAGUACCCGAAGAAAAAGCAUCGGCUAACUCCGUGCCAGCAGCCGCGGUAAUACGGAGGAUGCGAGCGUUAUCCAGAUUUAUUGGGUUAAAAGGGUGCGCAGGCGGAGGGGCAAGUCAGCGGUAAAAUUGCGGGGCCAAACCCCGUACUGCCGUUGAUACUGCAUGCCUUGAGUGCGCGAGAGGUAUGCGGAAUGCGUGGUGUAGCGGUGAAAUGCAUAGAUAUCACGCAGAACUCCGAUUGCGAAGGCAGCAUACCGGCGCGCAACUGACGCUCAUGCACGAAAGCGUGGGUAUCGAACAGGAUUAGAUACCCGAGUAGUC
rnacentral:rRNA from 1 species